CACUCCCUCUGUCUGUCCCCUCCCCCUGGGUCCGUCUCCCUCCCUCCGUCCCCCCGUGCUCCAAGGUUCAGCCACUUUCUUCCCGCAGGAGGGUGCGAAUAUGAAAUCUCCGCCCAGCCUGUCCAGUGAGCACGCAGGGAUCCUUAACACUUGACUGCCCGCUGGGGAUUCCUCUCUCAAGUCAAACGCUCACAUGCCACAGACAUCGCGCCAAUAGACACACAAACACCUCCCACACACACACACACACUCACACAGAUAUACCCGCUCCCAGACUCCACACAAACAGCUGACAGGCACACUCAGACUCUUCACACACCCGGCACACAAAUCCCAUACUUCCCCCCCGAUACACUGCACGCACAAACCUUCGAACCACACACACACACACACACCUCUCCAAGUGGGUAUAGUUUUGUAACCUGUUCAUAGGUUUAGCAGAAUUCACUUUUUAUUUUUUCGUAAUUUCAGUGGUUAACAUCACUGUUUAUUCUUAAGCAUUUUCUAUUUUUAUCAAUUUAAAUGUUCAGAGUUGUGAGAAAUUGGGGGAGGAGCGCUCGGCCAAGAAGGAGGUCAGACAAUCGUCAUUUAAUGACAGUAUGUGCUGAGAUUCAAAAAGUUUUAUAACCAUUUCAACAUAAAUUGUCAACAUCUAAGGUAAAAAUAUACAAAGUUACAAUACAAAUACAAUAUCCUUCAGUCAAACUGGCCCAAGUACGCAUGGGGGAAAAACAGAAUAACCAUGUGCCAGUAUCCUUUUACCCUGUGGUGGAAGGCAUGGGCAGCUCUCCUGAUAAUGUUAUAGUCAGAGUACAGGGACACCUCCACCAGAACUGCCAAAGAACCAGGAAUCUGCUCUGAGACCUUUAAGAACAGCAAGAACAACAACGCCAAUGCAAAACAGCACAAUAGCGCAGACGAAGCAUCAGGACAGUCCAAAGCUUGUAUACAUCAAACUCAAGGACAAAACAAAAGACUCUGGUAAAAAGCAACCACGCAACCACAACUCCAGUUCCUUGGCGGUCAACACCACACCAAACCCUGAGAAAAC